AAAGAUCAUAACACGAAAGAAACAUAAAAUAAUUUUAAUUUAAAAUUUUAAUGUUUUGAAAUCUUCGUCUCGGGAUCAUUGGUCUCGUGUAAUAUAAACAUAUAGGAUCUUUAUUAACUUUGACUGAAUUAAUUUUCUUUUAUCUUCCGACCAGUCAGCAUCGCAGAUUACACAGGGUGCUUUCCUAAAAAGGAAAAGUUAAUGAAAGUACAUUAUCCCUCGUUCUUACAAAAUUCUAUGCAAAAUAAUUUGUUUUAGAAUUAAAUUGUGAAGUGGAUGUUUUCGACAAUUCCUAAUUCAGUUUUACUUUGAAUUUUGACGAGUACACAUCGCAGCUCUCGCGUUCUCCGCAAGUAAUAGAGAAGAGGUAUUGUAAAUACAUUGUUAUAUCCCACAUUCUCACAAUAUUCUAUACAGUUUAUUUAAUUUUAAAUUUAAAUUGCGAAGUGGGGAUACUCGGCUUCGAGAGACGACAACAAAACCGAGUCUUUGACCGACUUUUACAAAUACUAGUUCAGUCUUGUUUUAAAUUUCGACGAGUAAACAUCGCAUUUCUCGCAGUACGCGUUCUCCGCAAAUAAUAGAGAAGAGAUAUUUGGGGCUACUCGGCUUCGAGAGACGACAACAAAACCAAGUCUUUGACCGACUUUUACAGUUACUAGUUCAGUUGUGCUUUGAACUUCGAGGAGGGAACUUAGAAAUUUUCGCAGGAUGCCACUCGAGGAAGUAUUAGCGAAGAGUUGAUGCAAGUAUAUUUUCUAUCACUUAUAUUUUCAUAAUUCUAUACAAUUUCUUUUGUUUUAGACAUCGAUUUCGCACUUUCGGAGACUUUGACAAUCUAUCUCCACGACUAGACUUAAAAAUUUUCGCAGGAUGCUACUCGUGCAAAGAAUUAACCAACAGUUAAUUCAAAUGUGCAACAAUUUAUUUGAUUUUAGACUUAAAUUGCGAAGUGGGGAUAUUCGGCUUCGCGAGACGACAACAAAACCGGAUAUUUGAUCGACUUUUAUAAAUACUGGCUCAGUUGUCCUUUGGACUUUGACGAGUGAACUUAGAAAUUUUCGCAGGAUGCCACUCGUACAAAGAAUUAACCAACAGUUAAUUCAAAUGUGGAACAAUUUAUUUGAUUUUAGACUUAAAUUGCGAAGUGGGGGUAUUCGGCUUCGCGAGACGACAACAAAGCCGGAUAUUUGAUCGACUUUUAUAAAUACUGGCUCAGUUGUCCUUUGGACUUUGACGAGUGAACUUAGAAAUUUUCGCAGGAUGCCACUCGUACAAAGAAUUAACCAACAGUUAAUUCAAAUGUGGAACAAUUUAUUUGAUUUUAGACUUAAAUUGCGAAGUGGGGAUAUUCGGCUUCGCGAGACGACAACAAAGCCGGAUAUUUGAUCGACUUUUAUAAAUACUGGCUCAGUUGUCCUUUGGACUUUGACGAAUGAACUUAGAAAUUUUCGCAGGAUGCCACUCGUACAAAGAAUUAACCAACAGUUAAUUCAAAUGUGGAACAAUUUAUUUGAUUUUAGACUUAAAUUGCGAAGUGGGGAUAUUCGGCUUCGCGAGACGACAACAAAGCCGGAUAUUUGAUCGACUUUUAUAAAUACUGGCUCAGUUGCCCUUUGGACUUUGACGAGUGAACUUAGAAAUUUUCGCAGGAUGCCACUCGUACAAAGAAUUAACCAACAGUUAAUUCAAAUGUGCAACAAUUUAUUUGAUUUUAGACUUAAAUUGCGAAGUGGGGGUAUUCGGCUUCGCGAGACGACAACAAAGCCGGAUAUUUGAUCGACUUUUAUAAAUACUGGCUCAGUUGCCCUUUGGACUUUGACGAGUGAACUUAGAAAUUUUCGCAGGAUGCCACUCGUACAAAGAAUUAACCAACAGUUAAUUCAAAUGUGCAACAAUUUAUUUGAUUUUAGACUUAAAUUGCGAAGUGGGGGUAUUCGGCUUCGCGAGACGACAACAAAGCCGGAUAUUUGAUCGACUUUUAUAAAUACUGGCUCAGUUGUCCUUUGGACUUUGACGAGUGAACUUAGAAAUUUUCGCAGGAUGCCACUCGUACAAAGAAUUAACCAACAGUUAAUUCAAAUGUGGAACAAUUUAUUUGAUUUUAGACUUAAAUUGCGAAGUGGGGGUAUUCGGCUUCGCGAGACGACAACAAAGCCGGAUAUUUGAUCGACUUUUAUAAAUACUGGCUCAGUUGCCCUUUGGACUUUGACGAGUGAACUUAGAAAUUUUCGCAGGAUGCCACUCGUACAAAGAAUUAACCAACAGUUAAUUCAAAUGUGCAACAAUUUAUUUGAUUUUAGACUUAAAUUGCGAAGUGGGGGUAUUCGGCUUCGCGAGACGACAACAAAGCCGGAUAUUUGAUCGACUUUUAUAAAUACUGGCUCAGUUGUCCUUUGGACUUUGACGAGUGAACUUAGAAAUUUUCGCAGGAUGCCACUCGUACAAAGAAUUAACCAACAGUUAAUUCAAAUGUGGAACAAUUUAUUUGAUUUUAGACUUAAAUUGCGAAGUGGGGGUAUUCGGCUUCGCGAGACGACAACAAAGCCGGAUAUUUGAUCGACUUUUAUAAAUACUGGCUCAGUUGUCCUUUGGACUUUGACGAGUGAACUUAGAAAUUUUCACUGGAUGCCAUUCGAGCAAAUGUCAAGGAAGACUUAAAAACCUCUUUGCAAUCGCGCGCGUUGCAAUGACGUAAUCGAAUGUUAGCAUCGCUAAAAUAAAAAUAUCGCGAAAUAGAAGCAGUGUUUGUUCGUUCGCGUUGCGCGAUUUAAACAAUAAAUAAUUUUUCAUGGACUGCGUGCAAUGCAGUCCUUAGAGUCAGUGUUUGUCCGCGUAGUUUUUUGAUUUUUUAACAGUCGCACAGACUGUACUUAUAAAGGAUAGUAGAGUUUCGCAAAAUAAAUUCAGUGAUCGUUCGUUAAUAAAUAACUACCGCGAAUUAGAGUCAGUGAAUCACUGAAGAGGAUCUCGACCAACUUCGAUCUCGACCUACCUCAUUUUCAACCAACUACAAAUCAUACACCCUCAAUUUCGACCUAAAUCGCGGUCCAGUGUUUUGGAGCCAUCGCAGAACUUCUUAAGUAGUAAGUUAAUUUUUAAAUCCCUCCGAUUACUCAAUUAUGUCGAGGACGAAAGGUCCGAAUCGGCACGAGUGAUUGGUUGUAAUUAAUUAGUAAAUGAGCAUUGAGUGACCACGAGUAAAUUUCUCCGGAAAAAAUUAUAUAUAUAUAUAAUGAAAUGACUGCAUAUAAUGCGAAUGACUGAAAAACGAAGAACUGUAUAUCUUAGUUAUAACAAUUAUUCUAAAUUAAUUUUUCCAGUUUAAUUACUCCUUAGUUUCUCUCGGGUGGGACCCUUGGGAGGGGCCCUCGGGUGUGGGCCUUUGGGCGGGCUGCCGACUUGGCAUCUUCUAAAGCUCUUUUUCUCUUUUUCUUUUCUUUCUGUUCUUUUUCUUCUUUUCUUCUACUUUUAAUCUUUUU